rnacentral:piRNA from 1 species
UGGUGUGCAUGUCCAGACCCUACCCGGGAGU